rnacentral:rRNA from 1 species
UACGAAGGGGGCGAGCGUUGUUCGGAAUCACUGGGCGUAAAGGGCGCGUAGGCGGCCCCUCCUAGUCGCGUGUGAAAGCCCCGGGCUCAACCUGGGAACGGCGCGCGAAACGGGGGGGCUGGAGUUCGGGAGAGGAGCGUGGAAUUCCCAGUGUAGAGGUGAAAUUCGUAGAUAUUGGGAAGAACACCGGGUGGCGAAGGCGGCGACCUGGUCCUU